CGGACGGGUGAGUAACACGUGGAUAACCUACCUAUAAGACUGGGAUAACUUCGGGAAACCGGAGCUAAUACCGGAUAAUAUAUUGAACCGCAUGGUUCAAUAGUGAAAGACGGUUUUGCUGUCACUUAUAGAUGGAUCCGCGCCGCAUUAGCUAGUUGGUAAGGUAACGGCUUACCAAGGCAGCGAUGCGUAGCCGACCUGAGAGGGUGAUCGGCCACACUGGAACUGAGACACGGUCCAGACUCCUACGGGAGGCAGCAGGG
rnacentral:rRNA from 1 species